rnacentral:rRNA from 1 species
GACGAACGCUGGCGGCGUGCUUAACACAUGCAAGUCGAACGGAAAGGCCCUGCUUUUGUGGGGUGCUCGAUUGGCGAACGGGUGAGUAACACGUGAGUAACCUGCCCUUGACUUUGGGAUAACUUCAGGAAACUGGGGCUAAUACCGGAUAGGAGCUCCUGCUGCAUGGUGGGGGUUGGAAAGUUUCGGCGGUUGGGGAUGGACUCGCGGCUUAUCAGCUUUUUGGUGGGGUAGUGGCUUACCAAGGCUUUGACGGGUAGCCGGCCUGAGAGGGUGACCGGCCACAUUGGGACUGAGAUACGGCCCAGACUCCUACGGGAGGCAGCAGUGGGGAAUAUUGCACAAUGGGCGGAAGCCUGAUGCAGCAACGCCGCGUGCGGGAUGACGGCCUUCGGGUUGUAAACCGCUUUCGCCUGUGACGAAGCGUGAGUGACGGUAAUGGGUAAAGAAGCACCGGCUAACUACGUG